rnacentral:rRNA from 1 species
ACGAACGCUGGCGGCGUGCCUAAUACAUGCAAGUUGAGCGCUGAAGGUUGGUACUUGUACCAACUGGAUGAGCAGCGAACGGGUGAGUAACGCGUGGGGAAUCUGCCUUUGAGCGGGGGACAACAUUUGGAAACGAAUGCUAAUACCGCAUAAAACCUUUAAACACAAGUUUUAAGUUUGAAAGAUGCAAUUGCAUCACUCAAAGAUGAUCCCGCGUUGUAUUAGCUAGUUGGUGAGGUAAAGGCUCACCAAGGCGAUGAUACAUAGCCGACCUGAGAGGGUGAUCGGCCACAUUGGGACUGAGACACGGCCCAAACUCCUACGGGAGGCAGCAGUAGGGAAUCUUCGGCAAUGGACGAAAGUCUGACCGAGCAACGCCGCGGGAGUGAAGAAGGGUUUCGGAUCGUAAAACUCUGUUGGUAGAGAAGAACGUUGGUGAGAGUGGAAAGCUCAUCAAGUGACGGUAACUACCCAGAAAGGGACGGCUAACUACGUG